rnacentral:lncRNA from 1 species
UGGAGAGAGGCAGGCAGAGAGAGAGGGGGAAGCAGGCUCCCUGCUGAGCAGAGAGCCUGAUGUGGGGCUCAAUCCCAGGACCCUGAGACCAUGACCUGAGCUGAAGGCAGAGGCUUAACCUUCUGAGCCACCCAGGUGCCCCUGUAGGACAUAUUUUUUUUUUAAGAUUUAUUUAUUUAUUAUUUGAGAGCAAGAGCUUGCAGGGUAGGGGGAGGAACAGAGGGCAAGGGAGAGAGAAAAUCGCAAGCAGAUGGACCCCCUGAGCUUGGAGCCUGAUGUGGGGCUUAAUCUCAUGACCUGAGCUGAGAUCAAGAGUUGCGCUCAACUGACUGAGCCACCCAGGUGCCUCUGUAUGGUAUUUUAAUGACAGAUACCUGUCAUUACAUGUUUGUCCAAACACAUGGAAUGUACAACUCCAAGGGCAAGCCCUAAGGUAUCCUGCAGGCUCAGGGUGAUUACAAUGUGUCCGUGCAGCUUUAUGGAUGAUGACAAAGAACUCCAAGGGGCACUGGUCUAGUGUCCAGGAACCACCAUACAUCAAGGAUCCACGUCUGCUGACUGCUUCAGCCUCAUGAACUGUGCCUUCUGUUUUCAUCUCUGCUCUGCCUUAAGACAGGAAACAGCCUCUCUUCCCCAGGCUCCAAUGAGAGAACUUACAGCAGAAAUGUUCCCUACAGAAGGAAGAUGCCCAAGAGAGAAGACCUGAAACGGGGCCAAGACAAGAACACUCACCUCCCCUGGGAUCCAAAAUGGGUGUGACUGAAGGAGGAUGAGUAUUGUGGAGGAAGAAUGCACGAGACAGAAAAUCCAUAAACCCAACCACAGGAUUUUGUGAACUAUCCAUGAGUCCAUGAUGUUAUCACUCAUGGAACUCAAGAGCCCACGCCAAGAUCCUGUGUGGCCACGCCCUGCUAUCACCAGCUGCUAGAGGGUCACCCCUCCCCCAGGCUCUUUUCCUCACUGGACACUCCUCACGAUUCCGGAGAACAACCCCUGUACCAGAGCACACACUUAGUUGCCAUUAUCCCAAACGACGUAAGCAAAGGUCAAC